GACGAACGCUGGCGGCGUGCUUAACACAUGCAAGUCGAACGAUUAAGCGGGUGCUUGCACUCGUGGAUUAGUGGCGAACGGGCGAGUAACACGUGAGUAACCUGUCCUUUUCUUUGGGAUAACGGCUGGAAACGGCUGCUACUACUGGAUAUUCAGGCUGCAUCGCAGGGUGUGGUUUGGAAAGGCUUUUUCUGGGAUUGGGUGGGCGCGCUGCCUAUCAGCUGGUUGGUGGGGUGAUGGCUGACCAAGUCUUUGACGGGUAGCCGGCCUGAGAGGGUGGUCGGUCGCACUGGGACUGAGAUGCGGCCCAGAGUCCUCCGGGGGGCAGCAGUGGGGACUAUUGCACAAUGGACGAAAGUUUGAUGCCGCGUCGCCGCGUGGAGGGUGUAGGCCUUCGGGUUGUGAACUCCUUUUUCUCGCGAAAAAGGCUCAGUUUUGGCUGUGUUGAUGGUAGUGGGGGAAGAAGCGCCGGCUAACUACGUG
rnacentral:rRNA from 1 species